CCCUCCCGCCCUGCGCCCUCCGCCUGGGUGGGUGAGCGAGCGAGGGCGAGUGCGGGCCGCGGUGCGCUGUGGGAUACUGGCGGUAUAUAGCCUAUCCUCGGUGCGGCGUUAGCUAAGGGGGCCAGGCAGGAGCGGGGUAUGAAGAUGGCGGACGCCAAGCAGAAGCGGAACGAGCAGCUGAAGCGUUGGAUCGGCUCCGAGACCGACCUGGAGCCGCCUGUGGUCAAGCGCAAAAAGACCAAGGUGAAGUUCGACGACGGCGCCGUCUUCCUGGCCGCCUGCUCCAGCGGGGACACCGAGGAGGUGCUGCGGCUGCUGGAGCGGGGCGCCGACAUCAACUACGCCAAUGUGGACGGGCUCACCGCGCUCCACCAGGCUUGUAUAGAUGAUAACGUAGAUAUGGUGAAAUUUCUGGUGGAAAAUGGAGCAAAUAUUAAUCAACCAGAUAAUGAAGGCUGGAUACCUCUACAUGCAGCUGCUUCCUGUGGAUAUCUUGAUAUAGCAGAGUAUUUAAUUAGUCAAGGAGCACAUGUAGGAGCUGUAAAUAGUGAAGGAGACACUCCAUUAGAUAUUGCUGAAGAAGAGGCAAUGGAAGAGCUGCUUCAGAAUGAAGUAAAUAGACAAGGGGUUGAUAUAGAGGCAGCUCGAAAAGAAGAAGAACGAAUAAUGCUAAGAGAUGCAAGACAGUGGCUCAACAGUGGCCAUAUCAAUGAUGUCAGGCAUGCAAAAUCUGGUGGUACAGCACUUCAUGUAGCUGCUGCUAAGGGCUAUACAGAAGUCUUAAAGCUUUUAAUACAGGCUCGCUACGAUGUAAAUAUUAAAGAUUAUGAUGGCUGGACACCACUUCAUGCUGCUGCUCACUGGGGUAAAGAAGAAGCAUGUCGCAUUUUAGUGGAAAACCUAUGUGAUAUGGAGGCUGUCAACAAAGUGGGGCAGACAGCGUUUGAUGUGGCAGAUGAAGAUAUUCUAGGAUAUUUAGAAGAAUUACAAAAGAAGCAGAAUCUGCUUCAUAGUGAAAAACGGGAAAAGAAAUCUCCCCUGAUUGAAUCCACAGCCAACAUGGAUAAUAAUCAGACACAGAAAACAUUCAAAAACAAGGAGACAUUGAUUAUGGAGCAAGAAAAGAAUGCAUCUAGUAUAGAGUCUCUGGAGCAAGAAAAAGUAGAUGAGGAAGAAGAGGGAAAGAAGGAUGAAUCCAGUUGUUCUAGUGAAGAGGAAGAGGAUGACGACUCAGAAUCUGAAGCAGAGACAGAUAAAACUAAAACCUUGGCAGCUGUAACUAAUAAUGCAAAUACCACAAGUACACAAUCAGCAUCAGUAGCUGUGACAGCGCCUUCAGUAGCUGGUGGCCAAGGGGCACCUACAUCACCUGUUAAGAAGUUUCCGACAUCUACAACCAAGGUUUCUCCCAAAGAGGAAGAGAGGAAAGAUGAAUCUCCUGCUUCGUGGAGGUUAGGUCUUAGAAAAACUGGUAGUUACGGUGCGCUUGCAGAGAUUACUGCUUCCAAAGAAGCUCAGAAAGAAAAAGACUCUGCAGGUGUUAUGCGUUCUGCUUCAAGUCCUAGACUUUCCUCUUCAUUGGACAACAAAGAAAAGGAGAAAGAUGGAAAAGGAACCCGACUUGCAUAUGUUGCACCUACAAUACCAAGACGACUGGCCAGUACCUCUGACAUUGACGAAAAAGAAAACAGGGACUUGUCUGCUAGCUCAAUACGUGGUGGCAGUUCCUACACCAGGAGAAAAUGGGAGGAGGAUGUCAAGAAAAACAGUUUGAAUGAAGGUCCUACAUCAUUAAACACAAGCUAUCAAAGAAGUGGCUCCUUUGGUAGAAGACAAGAUGAUUUGAUUAGUUCUAAUGUUCCAAGUACUGCAUCAACAGUUACCUCUUCUGCUGGUCUUCAGAAAACACUGCCUGCCAGCGCAAACACUACUACAAAGAGUACAACGGGUUCUACUUCAGCAGGUGUACAAAGCAGAUCAUACCUCACUCCAGUACGGGAUGAAGAGUCAGAGUCCCAAAGAAAAGCUAGAUCCAGGCAAGCAAGACAGUCUAGAAGAUCUACGCAGGGUGUAACGCUGACAGAUCUUCAAGAAGCUGAAAAAACUAUAGGAAGAAGUCGUCCCACGCGAACCAGAGAACAGGAAAAUGAAGAAAAAGAAAAAGAAGAGAAAGAAAAGCAAGACAAAGAAAAGCAAGAAGAAAAGAAAGAAUCUGAAACUAAAGAUGAUGAUUAUAGACAAAGAUAUUCCCGAACUGUUGAAGAGCCGUAUCAUCGCUAUAGACCAACUUCAACUUCAACUUCUUCAUCGUCCACCUCUUCACUCUCCACCUCUACUAGCUCUCUUUCAACUUCAAGUCAACUAAACAGACCAAACAGCCUUAUAGGUAUAACUUCUGCCUAUUCUCGGAGUGGAACAAAGGAAAGUGAGAGAGAAGGGGGCAAAAAAGAGGAAGAAAAGGAAGAAGAUAAGUCACAGCCUAAGUCUAUAAGGGAAAGGCGGCGACCGAGAGAAAAACGACGAUCUACAGGAGUUUCUUUUUGGACUCAAGAUAGUGAUGAAAAUGAACAGGAACACCAGUCCGAUUCAGAAGAAGGAACAAAUAAGAAAGAAACUCAGGUAAUUUAAAAAAGAUAAUUGGCUUAUUAACUUUCUCACAGAUACAUUUUGAUCAUAAAAUUUCUGUUGCAGUUGGAUUCAGUUAAAAGAGUGUAUAUGGUAGAGUUCUUACAAAUGCUUUCUGAUUCAUAAUUUGUGGCCAUGGUUCAGUGCCAUUUCCUUUGCAGGCUUUAAUAACAAUUUUUAACAUAUUAACAAUGGCUAAAACUGAUGUUUUUCUCUUCCAUUCUGAUUAUGUAGAAUUAGCAUCCAGAAAAUGUAAGUGAAAUUUCUGACACAUAGGUCAGGGACAUGUUGCAGCAAAUUCCUGGAGGGAGCUUUCAGUUUCUACAUUGCAAAAAUCUUUGUUCCAUCUGCUCUGUUAUUUUCAGAUAAGUGAUGCCCAGUGACUUAUGCACACUAAUUAGAACAUUUUAAAAUUAAACCCAGUGCUGUCAAUAAUGUAAUUAACAAAUAAUAUGAGAAGUUAAUAUAAGGAAGCAUAGAAAGUUGAAGAGCACAAUGUGCCUCAUUUCUCCACUGAAGAAAAUGGAUUUCUGAGCAUCCUAAUUCAGUAUUAUUAGUCUUGUUAAAAAGUCAGUGGAAAACAGUAUAAUAGGCUUGAUUUGGUGGAAAAAUCCUUAUAAACUGAAUGGUGUGUGGCAAUGGGAUGAAGAGGGGUUAAAAGGGAAGUAGUAACUUAAGCUGUACUAUAAAAUGGUAUAGCAGAAUGUAUUUAUUUUGACCUAAACCCUGGAGUAACACACUACAGAAACAGGUUCAUUACUGAGGAAUGAAACUCAAGUGAUGUUUCUCUCCUUUUUGUAAAAGCUUCCAUUACAUAUUCUUUAAAUACUUUACUAAAGAGAUUAACUCCGUGCCAUUUUGUUUUGCUGUAUUUUUUAUUUCUGCGUUACGUUAACAUAAAUGCAUAGCCCUGUUUCCUUUCCUCCCACUGUAUCAUUAACAGUGUUAUUUUUAUUUUUUAAAUACCUAAAGAAGUUGCACUUCCCUUUUUGCCAAAUCUACUUUCACUUUGACACAAAUCUUGCAUGCUUUAUUGUAGAAAUUCAUCAUUAUUUGCUCAUAAAUCCUUUUCAGUUCUAGGAAGAGAAAAGGAAAGAGAUGAAUAAACUUAGAAUUGCAAUGAAAGACAUUCAGAAAAUAGUUAUGCUUUUUCAAUUCUGCUGUUUAUUUGAUGUACUGCUAUUCAGAAGACAGAAACUUUGGAAAUACUGAAAUUCUCUGUUACUCCCUUAUGUGGUGCUGCUGCUGGUUUUUUUGCUUGAUGAAACUACAAGCGAGAGGUAGAAGAUGAUAACUAUAACCUUCCAAAGGCUUUGGUGGUAACUCAAGAAUUUGAACUAGAGAGAGGAGGUCAAGAACAAGCCUUGCACAUGGAUGCAUGCUACAAAGAAAAUCAAAGGACCUUAGACAAAAUAAUUUCUAGCCUGACAUAUUUGAGGACCCAGAAAAAAUAUGUUCUUAUUCAUUUCAGAUGAAUAAUUAAAUGGGCUGAAAUUUUAUUUUAGCCAGAUAUCAGAUAUGCGACUUGUGAAAGGUGAAAACUAGCAAUAUUAGGAUAAUAAAUGUCAUUAGGUCUUCUGAUUCUGUGGGAGUAAACAUGAGAAACUGGCAUUAAUAGUGUUGAUUAAAUGCUGUACUCAAAUUUUGUUUCUCAGUUUCACUGCUGUGGCAGUUUUACAGAAACACUCAUUUGUAACAGUACAGAAAAUUCCACCUGACUUUGAUAUUUUAUUUCCAUUACCAGUAACUAUCCCAACCUCACCAAAAUGUGAUGUGCCUCUCUAGGAGCUUAGUGUACAUUUUCAAAUACAGUUUCUUUUAGGGGCACCCUUGUGGUGUGUAGAGACUGGUGGCAUAGGCUUAGAAGUAAGUAUUAUUUCAGGUUGUGUAGAUGAGGAUACGUAUGUUUUAAUUUUUCGUUACUGCUUGUGUGCUGCCAGUGUAACUGUGGCUGCUCAGUUCUGCGACUGAACGAAGAACAUCCAUCUGGAGUGAUUUGGAUGCACGGGGAUAUCUGGGUUGGCAUCAUUUCUUCUCAAGCGUUAUGCAAAGUUUGUAGACUUACACCUUUUCACAGUCAAAUGUCAAAAACUGUGACUGAGCUGAACUGAUAGAAAUUGAGGGGGAAAAUAAAGAAAGAAAACAGCUAAGGCUGUGCUAAAAAAAAACCCCAAACCCAAACGUGUUUUGUGAAAAGCGAGAGGAGCAAGAAGAGGCAUGUGCUUGAGAAAUGCGCUGCUCCUGUAGUGAGGUGUGGAGGCUGGACGGUGCUCGAGCAGCAAGAGCAGGGCUUCGCGGCUCUCGGGGGACGGAAACCGCUGGUGUGCACUUCUCUGGAGAUCACGGCGUCCUUGUCCGGCUUCUCGGGUUCCCAGCCUCAGCCAGGAGAACGGGAAUGGGCUGCGCCUGUGCUUUCCUGCCUCUAGUAAUUAGUGCUCUCUUACCUCACCAGUUCAUUUGUUGUACCCCUGUGUAGCUGGAAAAUUUUGUUUCUAAGAUGGUCUGUGUGUGACUUAAUAACCUGCCUUUCCGCUCGGGAAGCUGUAGUGCAGCAGGGGAAUGGAGAUCUGGAAGGUUUUCACAUUCCCACGGCACCAUGGGGAGUCCACUAGAAGCAAAGAAAAACAGCCUUUAGAAAGCGUAUUUGUUAAGAAAUAACGUAGGAAUGGUUUACUUCCUUGUGGUGGCUGUCCUAGAUUGUAGGUAAAGGUUAAAGGACCAGCUUAGCAUUUUUCUGUAUACGGCAUUCCUUCAAGAUAAAAAGAGAAAACCUAAAGUCUUUAUGGACAAAACUUCCUCUGUUUUGUUGAGGUGAGAAGGAAGCAGUGGAAAAGGGAUUUUCGUAGGUUGUUGAUUACAUGGUGGAAUUCUGUAAUCUCACACUGAUCUUACUUAAGUAUACGAUAAUGCAAGAUAAGACUAAUACUUAGGUGGAAGUUAAUCUUCUUGUGGCCAGUAGCUUAAAAACUAUCCAUGUAUAGGUGUGUGCCACCUAACUGUGACAUUUUCUACAAAAUCUCUUAAGUUCUUAGCGUUAUUCAUGCUCUUGACAGAAAAUAACAAUGUUUUAGUAGGAGUGGUUAGGCUACAACACGUACUUUUGAUAUCCUAUGCAUAAUAAAUGCUCUUCAAGGCGUCAAAGGGGAAACUGAGUGUAUUGUGGAGAAUGUGGCUCUCUUCCUCUAUGCAUGUUGAAAAAAUACAGUUUCCUUCUAAAAAAGGAAACCAAACCACACCACCCCCUAAAAAACCCACCUAUGGGGAAGGCUUCAGCUACUGCUAGGUGAAUAACGUUGGAGGAUGUCCAGGUGGUGAUGCAUCAGUAGAGUUUCCUGACUGAAAUUUCUUUGCUCAAGAUUGUUAUUAUAAUUGGAAUAAAUGAUGAAUCUGUAUUGACCGCCCGGAGGGGAAAAAGGUUUGUAUGACUGAUGUAAUGCUUAGAGGGCACUCCCUCACUCUUAAGUCAUCACUUCUAAUUAAAUUUCGCUUCUCAAGUAAAGUGAGUGAACUUUGUGCCUGUGGAUUCACGUGGAAUUAAUGAAUGAAUGAAAGUAAUAUAAAAAAUGAAAUUAUGUCAUUUAAAUUAAGUCUAAUAAGUACUUCCUUAUGUUGUUGGUAUAGUAGCUUGUUUCCCAUCGAGCUAUGUUGAAAUUAUGAUCUUGUGGCUUAGUUUAUAUUAUUAUCUUGAGCUGAAGUCAUUAUUAUGUUGACCUUUCAAAACAUUGCUAAUGUUAGAGAAGAAGAAGAAGAAGAAGGAAUAGAGAAUUGAGGGAACACAGUUCUGAUGCCUUUGAUAACAGGCAGGCAAAUUGCAGAAUGCACUGACUGCUGAAAUGACUCCAAUGUUUAGGACAGUCCAGACUUAGAGUGUAAUGUUAAUGUCCUUGUAAAUCAUAUUUUGGCAAGUACAUUCUAGCACAUAUUUCUUUUCAGUUCCAGACAUAACAGAAUUGAAGCUUGACAAUGUUCAGAUAAUACAUGCUGUUGGAUAACAUGUGCAUUUAACAUAACUAACUGUUUAGCUGUACUUAUUCACAGAUUGUUAUAUAUUUUACUUAAUUAAAUUAUUGACUUGAUCUAUUCUUUUUCUCUCUUUUUACCCCUUCCCACCUCAGAGUGAUAGCCUUUCAAGAUAUGAUACGGGAUCCCUCAGCAUGUCUUCAGGUGAUCGUUAUGAUUCAGCGCAGGGGCGAUCGGGGUCACAGAGUUACCUUGAAGAUCGGAAACCAUACUGCAGUAGACUAGAAAAAGAAGAUAGCACUGAUUUUAAGAAGCUUUAUGAACAGAUUCUAGCUGAAAAUGAAAAACUGAAAGCACAGUUACAUGAUACCAACAUGGAACUUACAGAUCUUAAGCUACAGUUGGAGAAGACCACUCAGAGACAAGAAAGAUUUGCUGACAGAUCACUCUUGGAAAUGGAGAAAAGGGUGACCGGCAAGAGUCAGUAUCUACUGGGCGGAAAGAAGAGCUCUAGAAAGAAGGAUAUCUGAAAUGGAAGAGGAACUGAAAAUGCUACCAGACCUGAAGGCAGACAACCAGAGGCUAAAAGAUGAAAAUGGGGC